rnacentral:misc_RNA from 1 species
GAUGAAGAACGUAGCGAAACGCGAUAGUUAAUGUGAAUUGCAGAAUUCAGUGAAUCAUCGAGUCUUUGAACGCACAUUGCGCCCCCUGGUAUUCCGGGGGGCAUGCCUGUCCGAGCGUCAUUGCUGCCCAUCAAGCGCGGCUUGUGUGUUGGGCCGCCGUCCGCCUUCCCCCCCGGGGGGAGGGGGACGGGCCCGAAAGGCAGCGGCGGCACCGCGUCCGGUCCUCGAGCGUAUGGGGCUCUGUCACCCGCUCUGGAGGCCCGGCCGGCGCCCGGCGACCCCCAACCUUCUUCUAACCAGGUUGACCUCGGAUCAGGUAGGGAUACCCGCUGAACUUAAGCAUAUCAAUAAGCGGAGGA